rnacentral:rRNA from 1 species
GACAGAGGGUGCAAACGUUGUUCGGAAUUACUGGGCGUAAAGCGAGUGUAGGCGGUGUGGUAAGUCGGAUGUGAAAGCCCCCGGGCUCAACCCGGGAAGUGCACUCGAUACUGCCACGCUAGAGUAUCGGAGAGGUUGGUGGAAUUCUCGGUGUAGAGGUGAAAUUCGUAGAUAUCGAGAGGAACACCGGUGGCGAAGGCGGCCAACUGGACGAAUACUGACGCUGAGGCGCGAAAGCGUGGGGGAGCAAACAGG